rnacentral:rRNA from 1 species
GACGAACGCUGGCGGCGUGCUUAACACAUGCAAGUCGUACGGUAAGGCCCUUUCGGGGGUACACGAGUGGCAAACGGGUGAGUAACACGUGAGUAACCUGCCCACAACUUUGGGAUAACGCUAGGAAACUGGUGCUAAUACUGGAUAUGUGCUCCUGCUGCAUGGUGGGGGUUGGAAAGCUCCGGCGGUUGUGGAUGGACUCGCGGCCUAUCAGCUUGUUGGUGGGGUAGUGGCCUACCAAGGCGGCGACGGGUAGCCGGCCUGAGAGGGUGACCGGCCACAUUGGGACUGAGAUACGGCCCAGACUCCUACGGGAGGCAGCAGCGGGGAAUAUUGCACAAUGGGCGCAAGCCUGAUGCAGCAACGCCGCGUGCGGGAUGACGGCCUUCGGGUUGUAAACCGCUUUCAGCAGGGACGAAGCUUUUUGUGACGGUACCUGCAGAAGAAGCACCGGCUAACUACGUG